GCAACAAUUAAGGUCGUUGAGGAACGAGCGUGAUCUUGUUGAAGACUAAGUUCAUCAUUUGAAGUGAUCUCUCAAAUUUGAAAGUCUUCGUGAUGAUGAAAAGCAGAAUAUGAUUUCAACUCUGGGUGAUUUGGAGUCUCGAAGGGAUCAAGUUCGUCUUGCUCAUCAGCAGGUUCAA